GCUUCCUUCCGCAUGACCUUGUCACGGGCGGGAUUCCUCACGCUGGCCCCGGGCAGCAGAGAGUCGGAUACAGCUGAGCAACUAAACACAAGCACCUCAAGAGCAGACUCUUCUCGGCAUCUCAUCAGCGGGUUGCAAGUUGACAGCCAUCCUCGUCUCGGUCCAGGAUACAGCUAAGUUUUUAUCCAAAAAUACAGCUAAGGUUCCUUCCCCCCAGCCUUGCUCUUCAUUGGCUUUUGAGCAGCGAGCCGCCAGACCCCCACUGUCACGAGCUAUGAACCUGCACCUGGGUGUCGAUGAGAGUCAUCACACUUUCCUGAGUAACGCACGUGUGAGUUUGUGAAAAGACAUUUUAAACUGCAGGCACUGUGUCCACACGAGAGGGUUCAAGUGCUUCAUCAGUAGACAGCUGAGCUCGUGUUUUUUUUUAAUUUUCUAAUUGAAGGAUCAUUGCUUUACAGAACUUGGCUGUUUACUGUCAAAUCUCAGCACGAAUCAGCCAUAGGUAUACAUAUGUCCCCUCCCUCUUGAAACCCCCUCCCACCUCCCUCCCCAUCCCACCCCUCUAGGUUGAUACAGAGCCNNNNNNNGAGUUUCCAGGAGACAUAGAGCAGAGACAGCUGGGCAUUUUGAAGGCAUUUCUCGAACAUUCACCUCUCUCAGUCUGUGAAUGAAUUUGGCAACACAAGAGCACUUCCAGACAUGGUGAGCAUGUUCAUGGAGAAGG
rnacentral:lncRNA from 1 species